UACAAUAACUUACAACUCCCGUUAGCGCCAUGUGUCGCAUAGGGCGCGAAUGGAAGCCUUCCAUCUGAGUCUGUCUGCUGCUGCUUGUUGUGCUUCUCCCCAUGUUCUCCAUCCAAACUCUGUUCUUUCCUUAUCUACCAUUCGUCUCCAAGUUUCUUUUGGUCUUCCUACAUUUCUCUUUUCUGGUGGUGUCCAUGUCAAGGCGAUUCUACAAUCAUUCCAUGGGUCCAUCCUCAGGAUGUGACCUAUCCAACUCCAUCUCCUGAUCUUAAUGGUGUUGGUUAUGCUGGACAUGUUGGCUUUUUGUAGCAGUUCUGCGUUGGAUAUCGUAGUUGGCCAAAAUAUCUUAAAGAUUCUACGCAAGUUCCUGGUGUUGAAGGUGUUAAGUCUAUCUCCAUCUCUCUUGCUUAUCUUCCAGCAUUCUGCCCAUAAUAGCAACACUGAUAUAACAUUGCUUUUAUAAAUUUUCAUUUUGGUGUUUCUACUGUAUUGGUUUGAUGUCCAUAUUUUUCUUAGCUUAUAGUAUGCUGCUCUUGCUUUUUUAAUUCUAUUCCUUAUGUCGGCUGUUGCAUUGUCGUUGGUAUCUAUGACCGAUCCAAGGUAUGUGAAGCUGUCUACUAUCUCUAUUUCUUCGUUGUUCAAUGUAAUAGGCUGGAUGUUGUUUGCCUUUACACACAUUAUUUUACUCUUUUUCUUGUUUAUUUCUAAGCCAGUUGUUUUAGCUAUCUUUUGUAUAUCAUCUGUUUUAGCUUGCAGCUGUGUUCUUGUUGCUGAUAGGAGAGCAAUAUCAUCUGCAAAAUCAAGAUCUUCUAAUACCUGUAGUCUUCCCCAGUUGAUACCACGCUUUUUCUGUGUUGUUUGCUUCAUUGUCCAAUCUAUAACCAGUAAGAAAAGGAAUCCAGACAUUACACAACCUUGUCUGACUCCUGAUUUAAUGUGGAACCAUUCCGAAUGUUUACCCUCAUGUUCUACUACACAACUGAA
rnacentral:lncRNA from 1 species